GGACAUUUGAGCAGUGUAAGUGACGAUUUGAUCGCACGAGGUAACAACAAAACGAUGAGAUGGAAGAAUCAGCUGCUGAUUGGAGCCUGAAGGUCACCGCGAUGCAACCGAGUGCACAAAACAGUGAAGCGGGCUGACAGCGUGCAGACGUCAAGGCGAUCGUGUUUGGCACCACAAACCAGAAGGAGGCUUAUUGAUGCCGAUCCGAUUCACGCAGGGCAUGGUGAUCGGCAAAAUGAGCCGCCCUGCAGCGAGUUCGUCUUCGAAUUUUCACCAGGCACAGGGCAAGUUGGAACAGGUAGAAUCGGUUGGUUGGAAGGAAAAGAGGCAGGUAGGUAGGUAGGUAGGCGGGGAAAAGGAAGAGGAAGAAGAGGAGGAGGAGGAGGUCGGGGAGCAUGCACUCGAGCUUGGUGAGUCCGAUCGAGGAAUGCAUUCACGCACCUGACGCACCCCGCGCGCUUAUCGACGGAGAUUUCAGCCGCUCUGGGACUACUUAAGUCCAAAUAUAGACCAUGCCCUUGUGUUGGUAGGUAAACACGUACAACGGAACGAGGUGCGUCUGUCACGUGUUUGGCGAAUGUGUGCGAGCACGCCUAUAAAGAAAAUUCCCAACGGACGCAGGGUAAACACCUUGCAUCUAGUGUGUAGGUUUCGUUCAUCCUGGUGUUCGAGCGUGCGUGUUACCAGCUUCACCACCCCCAAAUCUUCCUUGGCUAGGAUUAGUUCGGAAUCUCGACAUAAGCUAGAUUAUAAACUGGGGACUCUGGAGGGUCUUAAAUUUUUAAAAUACCUCCUUUAACGACGAUCGUCGUUGUCACUUACAGCCGAAAGCCAAUAUGUGCACAGAGUGGAAUGAAACAGGUUACAAUUUAUACUGAAAUUUUAUCUUGGAUCCUGAGACUUGGAUUUGAUUCUCAGACUUUUUGCGUUUAGGUAAAAAUUCAGUCUCAUGCGGUUGGGUGUUAAUCCAAAGUAUCCUUGACCUGUUGUUGGUUACGUUUAAACGUAGAAGGACUCAGCGCCAAUCCAACCUUUUCUGAUGAGGUUUCACCAUCAUUGGAAAAAAAUAAGAAUUCUUUUACUGAAACAGCUUCAACGUGAAUGACAUCGUGCAUGUUUUCCCGUUUCUCAAACUUCAGUUCUACCGAUUCCCCUAUGAAUUGCAAAAUCAUUCGGUUUGAAUUUCAGAGUCAGUAUUUGUACACCUGGGUUCUCUAUACAGAACCCAGAUAGUCGUACUUCAAAAAAAUUCGAUACUUGCAUACUUCCAUCUCCUGUUUUUAACACCACGCGUGCGAUAGGAUAGUUACUAUCUGUAUUGACCGAAUGCUCAAAUUCCUUAACCUCUUGAGUAAAGUUCGAGGAAAAAUGUAAACAGCGUCAAUUAUACAUUUGAGGUAGAAUGACGAAUCACGAGUCGAAAGUAAUGAGGAACAGCACGGAAUCGCCACCCUGAAAUUUGAAUCGAACUACGCGGCGCCGUCUUCGGAGAUUAACUGGCCAUUCCGCUCCCAUGUUUGUCGUUUGUGAGAGCCGAUAGACACUGCGCAUCGGGAUGAUCGGUGACGUAUAGUAACUCUAUAGUAGACGCAUUAGAUAAAUAAGGGUAAGCUAUAAGCACUCCGCUCUCAGGCAUACGUGUAUAACUUGUAUAUAUAUAAUAUUCUACCGAUCUAUCUGCUUCAAAACGUGCCUGUAAAACCUGCAUUGCUGAAGGAUAUCGGUCAUGUAUGAA